rnacentral:SRP_RNA from 1 species
GCGAUAGGUAGGGCUGGGAGGAUAGCCGUCUCCCAAUCCUGAAAACGGCUAUACGCAGGGGCCAGUAACCGACUGGUAAAGCAUGCUGAUCGGGAUACCUGUCAGUUGCGCAGGAAUGAAGACACGCCGUGAUGGGCGGUCGCAAGAGGCGACCCCUUCGAAGGAAGGGAAUCGACCUUCAACUGUUGAAACGGGCGAGGUCCGGGAGGGAGCAACCCUAAGGCAGGGCGGCCACGCUGUCACGCCCACGUGAUUGACUCAGCGGAUUGAAGAUGGGGCUCGAUUAGGGUGUGAAAUCUGUUCGGGGCUAUCGC